rnacentral:rRNA from 1 species
AUUGAACGCUGGCGGCAUGCCUUACACAUGCAAGUCGAGCGGACAGAUGGGAACUUGCUCCCGGAAGUCAGCGGCGGACGGGUGAGUAACACGUGGGCAACCUGCCUGUAAGACUGGGAUAACUUCGGGAAACCGGAGCUAAUACCGGAUACGUUCUUUUCUCGCAUGAGAGAAGAUGGAAAGAUGGUUUCGGCUAUCACUUACAGGUGGGCCCGCGGCGCAUUAGCUAGUUGGUGAGGUAAUGGCUCACCAAGGCGACGAUGCGUAGUCGACCUGAGAGGGUGAUCGGCCACACUGGGACUGAGACACGGCCCAGACUCCUACGGGAGGCAGCAGUAGGGAAUCUUCCGCAAUGGACGAAAGUCUGACGGAGCAACGCCGCGUGAACGAUGAAGGCCUUCGGGUCGUAAAGUUCUGUUGUUAGGGAAGAACAAGUACCAGAGUAACUGCUGGUACCUUGACGGUACCUAACCAGAAAGCCACGGCUAACUACGUGCCAGCAGCCGCCGUAAUAC